rnacentral:rRNA from 1 species
AGAACGACGACUGGCGGCGAGGCCGUAACUAACAUGCAAGUACGAACGCGACGUUCGGUCGGAGUAGGCGCACGGGUGAGUAACGCGUGGGAACCUGUCCUGUGGUACGGAAUAACAUCGGGAAACUGGUGCUAAUACCGUAUGUCCCCUGAGGGGGAAAGAUUUAUCGCCAUGGGAGGGGCCCGCGUAGGAUUAGCUAGUUGGUGAGGUAACGGCUCACCAAGGCGACGAUCCUUAGCUGGUCUGAGAGGAUGAUCAGCCACACUGGGACUGAGAUACGGCCCAGACUCCUACGGGAGGCAGCAGUGGGGAAUAUUGGACAAUGGGGGAAACCCUGAUCCAGCCAUGCCGCGUGAGUGAUGAAGGCCUUGGGUUGUAAAGCUCUUUCGCACGCGACGAUGAUGACGGUAGCGUGAGAAGAAGCCCCGGCUAACUUCGUGCCAGCAGCCGC